GUCGCCAUCAUCUAACGGCUUAGGAUACUUGGUUCUCAUCCAAGAAAUUGAGGGUUCGAAUCCCUCUGGCCACCCCA
rnacentral:tRNA from 1 species